rnacentral:rRNA from 1 species
UACGUAGGGACCGAGCGUUGUCCGGAAUCAUUGGGCGUAAAGAGCGUGUAGGCGGCUUGCUAAGUCCUGCGUGAAAUCUCGGGGCUCAACCCCGAGCGGUCGUGGGAAACUGGCAGGCUAGAGUGCGGAAGAGGAGAGUGGAAUUCCCGGUGUAGCGGUGAAAUGCGCAGAUAUCGGGAAGAACACCCGUGGCGAAGGCGGCUCUCUGGGACGGUACUGACGCUGAGACGCGAAAGCGUGGGGAGCGAACAGG